ACCUUUCAAUCUGCUGCUUGUAGACGUUAUGGGAAAGUUGUGUCUCUCCCUCUCUCUCUCUCUCUCGCUCCCUUUCCCCAUCCCUCCCUCUUGUCUUCGUCUGUCAUGUGCCUGGAAUACGCUCAUGCUUUGCACAGAGCAGCUGUAGCACGCCUAAUGCAGCCUAACAAAGUGCUAUAGCGGCAAUUUUAAAGUCCAACCGAAUAACACGGCUGGGAUGUUUUCAGGGAAACGCACAGCCAUGUGUUUGACGCCGUGCACGGACUUGGCUGUUCUUCUGUCGCCCGGGAAGCUUGCAGUGAUUUGACUCGUCCUCAGGAAUGAUGGAGAAAGGGAGCGGGCCAGGGCUACACGCUGCAGGAAGUACAGGUCAUCACAAGAUCUCAGGGAUUCUGCUCUCCGUUGGACCCAGAUGAGGCUGGAUGAAGUUAUGGCUCAUAAAUGUCUGGAGCCUCUACUCUGAAGACAUCAAGGAUAUUCAGCUGAUCUCUGAGUAACUGGUGAAGAGGACAAGAGUCGGCAUUUCAGCAAGACAGAAGCUUCAAGGUCUCCAUUCGAACGCUUCACAACCCACACUGUACCCUUUAUGCUUCUUUACUUCUGUCACUGAGUUGGAUAAGACCCCCCCACCCCCCAACCUAUUUAUUUUUAUUCAUUUAUCUUACAAGGACUUCCCAAAAUAGAAUGAAAAAAACUCUGCAUGUUAAAACUGUAUUUCAUGUAAAUGAUUGAAGUUUUUUUUGCAUGUUUUUGACAGCUAAAU